rnacentral:rRNA from 1 species
UGGGCCGCACGCGCGCUACACUGACGGAGCCAACGAGUACUAUCCUUGGCCGAGAGGUCCGGGUAAUCUUGUUAAACUCCGUCGUGCUGGGGAUAGAGCAUUGCAAUUAUUGCUCUUCAACGAGGAAUUCCUAGUAAGCGCAAGUCAUCAGCUUGCGUUGAUUACGUCCCUGCCCUUUGUACACACCGCCCGUCGCUAGUACCGAUUGAAUGGCUUAGUGAGGCUUCCGGAUUGGUUUAGAGAAGGGGGCAACUCCAUCUCGGAACUGAAAAGCUAGUCAAACUUGGUCAUUUAGAGGAACUAAAAGUCGUAACAAGGUUUCCGUAGGUGAACCUGCGGAAGGAUCAUUACAGAAUCUCUUCUAAAGUUUUGUUAUGAGUAAUUAUUCUAGCGCUGCUGAAAUAUUGCGUGCGCGGUUGGUUGCUUGUGAUAAUUCUUUGGGAAAACUCUAUACACUUUGUUUUCUUAUUAGAGACAAACUUGCUUUGGUCAGAUGUGCGUAAAACCACGACUGAUCAGAGAUUAAAUAAAACUCAUUUUUGUUUUCGGGCAAAAAACGUGUAUUAUUCAUAGUCAAAACUUGAAGCUAUUCUUUAUUGAAUUGCUGAACUAAACUUAAAACUUUCAACAACGGAUCUCUUGGUUCUCGCAUCGAUGAAGAACGCAGCGAAGUGCGAUAAGUAAUGUGAAUUGCAGAUUUUCGUGAAUCAUCGAAUCUUUGAACGCAUAUUGCGCCCUCUGGUAUUCCGGAGGGCAUGCCUGUUUGAACCGUCAUUUCCUUCUCAUAUCCCUAGGAAGGGGGGGAUGAGCGAUACUUUUCCUAAAAAAGUUCGUUUGAAAUGAAAUUGGCACGAGUCUUUCACAAAUGGAGCUAUGUUUUCAAGGAUAGGUUUCCCCCCCCUGAUGGA